AUGGCUCUAACACAGACACAGGACCAGUCUGCUAAAGGACAGAGGAUCAAUAAGGAAACAGGAGAGCUGAGUGCUUCAGGAGAGUUGUCCAUCUCCGUGGAACUGAAGACAGGGAACGUGGAGGGCUCUUGUAGGAACCCUCAACUACUACAAUUGCUCCGAGAACAACUACAGGAAUUGGGUGUUGAUACUUUCUCGAACUCUGACCACCAAAUCGACCAUGGCUGUUUAGAGCAGAGGGAGGAGCAUCUAGUCAAAGUCCUGCCUCUCUACAUACAGGCCUGUGAGGAUGGUUGCAGACUGGAGGGUUUGGACUUGAGGGGUCUUGCGUCUCGCACUGCUGUUACGAUCAUCCACAACAUCCUCAAGAGAGUGUCAGAAAGGCCCGCAGGUAGCGACACCCCCUCGGUUAGCACACGCCCUGUGCCACUGAUGUUUUCAGGUGGAGGGACUUUUCACCUCCUUUGCCUACUUCUGCUUUUUCAGGUUGCAGUGGGGGGUUUUCAGUUAGUUUUUUUUUUAGUUGUUGUUUUUUUAUUUUUUAAAGGUCAUUCAAGUAGUUUCACAGAACGCAUGAAUGACAAACUGAGCUAAAUUUAUCUGUUGCCAAAAAAACACCAGUACAUUCAUUAAAACCGCUCCCACAGUAAUCUACCCAUUUAUAUUUUGUCUAAUGAUGUUUUUCUGGAGCUUGCAAAAUAGGAACCCUUCUUGGUUUUAGGGAAGUGCAUGUAUGUACUUCUGUUUUUUUGCCUAAACUAAGACGAAGUUUGAGGAUGAGUUCCAACAUGACGCAUGUAGCAGCCACUGUAUGUGCAAGGGUGCAGGGCGUUUCCUGAAUGUACUGUACACAGAUCCUGUUGUAUUCUAAAAUAACAUACUGUAGCAGUAUUACUGUGCCACUGACUCAUUAGAGUCUCGUGUGUUUUCAGAGGGGGCUUGUGAAGAAGUUAUUCAAUUCUUCCAAAGACCAGAUGAGGACACAGGCUGUGAAAUUGGAAAUCCGGGAUGGCUGCUGUUAAAGUCUCUUCUGCUGCUCACAGCUGACAGCUCAGUGAGUUCAUCGUGAAGGGGCCUGAACUCUCCAUGUUUCCUGCUGUAGUCGAUAUAUAAUGGGGAAAUGUGUGUUUGUAGGACAUACUCUCCUGCAUGCACCCAGGUCUCCCUGCUGCGUUGAUGAAGUGUCUGUACCUGCUAGUGUGCCUUCCAACUAAAAAGGACAUCUCCGCUAAAAAUGAGAGCUUCCAGGAGCAUCUGACGCAGGUCACAGUCAACUUGCAUUUUACAUAUUUGUUUACAUUUUCCUUCUGUAUAGUUUUUUGUGCUGCUUUUUGUCGCCUAUUACAAUUCCUGCCCCCUGCUUUUCUCCAGGUCCUGCUUCAGCUCUGCAGGCAGCCGGUCAAUGUGGAGAGGAUGGUGGAGACUCAGGAACUGCAGUGUCUCAUCAUUGGCCUCACGUCGCUGUGGGAUCAGACCAGUGACACCUGGAGGCACCAGGCCUCGCGCGUCCUCAAGGCCGUCUCUGCUGUAGCGACGAGCAACACGGUCGCGAGCUUGCUGGGUGAGUUACAGUACGUUACUGAUGGACAGGAUU
ensembl:lncRNA